CAGGUGAGGGGCAGCAGGUGGCAGGGCCUCAUUAGGCUCAUUAGGGCUCAUUAAGGCUCAUUAACCUCAUUAGACUCGUUAGGAUGAUGGAGGAGCUGGGGGGUCCCCAGGGUCAGCAGGGGGGACCCCGAUGUUGGCCUUGUUUGGGUGGUGGGGACUCGUUAAGGCUCAUUAAGGACCUGCAGAGGCUCAUUAGGGGAUGGGGAGCUCAUUAAGGCUCAUUAGGGAGCUGCAGAGGCUCGUUAGGGGAUGGGGAGUUCGUUAAUGCUCGUUAAUUGUUGGGGGCUCAUUAAGGCUCAUUGAGUGCUGGGGGAUGCUGAGGUGAGAUUAAUGAGGCUAGAGGUUAACGAGGUCAGCAGGGUUAAUGAGAUCAGAAGUCAAUGAGGUUAAUGAGGUCAGCAGGGUUAAUGAGAUCAGAAGUUAAUGAGGUUAAUGAGGUCGGCAGGGUUAACAAGGUUAAUGAGGUCAGUGGGAAUAAUGAGGUUAAUGAAGGAUCUCUGGGUUAAUGAGGUCAGCGGAGUUAACGAGAUCAGAGGUUAAUGAGGUUAAUGAAGGAGCUCUGGGUUAAUGAGGUCUCCGGGGUUAAUGAGAUCAGAGGUUAAUGAAGGAGCUCUGGGUUAAUGAGGUCAGCGGGGUUAAUGAGAUCAGAGGUUAAUGAAUGAGCUCUGGGUUAAUGAGGUCAGCAGGGUUAAUGAGAUCAGAGGUUAAUGAAGGAGCUCUGGGUUAAUGAGGUCUCCGGGGUUAAUGAGAUCAGAGGUUAAUGAAGGAGCUCUGGGUUAAUGAGGUCAGCAGGGUUAAUGAGAUCAGAGGUUAAUGAAGGAGCUCUGGGUUAAUGAGGUCUCCGGGGUUAAUGAGAUCAGAGGUUAAUGAAGGAGCUCUGGGUUCAUGAGGUCAGCGGGGUUAACGAGGUCAGAGGUUAAUGAAGGGUUAAUGAGGGGCUCAUUGGGACCCCGCCCCCCGGCCGGUGGGGGAGGGGCCGGAUGUACAGAUUUUGUAGGGGGGAGGGGCUGGGCGCGUUUUUAACGAGCUUUGGGGCUAAUAAAGGAGGAUUUGGUUAAA